rnacentral:pre_miRNA from 13 species
UUUCAGCAAUACUAAAGUGCUUAUAGUGCAGGUAGUGUUUCCUAUCUACUGCAAUGUGAGCACUUGAAGUAUUUCUAACU